rnacentral:rRNA from 1 species
AACGAACGCUGGCGGCAUGCCUAACACAUGCAAGUCGAACGAGACCUUCGGGUCUAGUGGCGCACGGGUGCGUAACGCGUGGGAACCUGCCCUUAGGUUCGGAAUAACUCCCCGAAAGGGGUGCUAAUACCGGAUAAUGUCUUCGGACCAAAGAUUUAUCGCCUUUGGAUGGGCCCGCGUUGGAUUAGCUAGUUGGUAGGGUAAAAGCCUACCAAGGCGACGAUCCAUAGCUGGUCUGAGAGGAUGAUCAGCCACACUGGGACUGAGACACGGCCCAGACUCCUACGGGAAGCAGCAGUGGGGAAUAUUGGACAAUGGGCGAAAGACUGAUCCAGCAAUGCCGCGUGAGUGAUGAAGGCCUUAGGGUUGUAAAGCUCUUUUACCCGGGAUGAUAAUGACAGUACCGGGAGAAUAAGCUCCGGCUAACUACGUG